CUCAAAAAGGAAGAGGAAAAAGAGAAGGAAAAAAAUAAGUCCGGGUUUCAGAUAAAACAGAUGAAACAGUGACUGUCUCUUGUCUAUGGUCACCACACUGGUCCUAAAAAUAGUCUCUAAUCCUUAGGAAAUGACUGGAGCAACAGUAACUGCUUCAUCGUUGAGUCUUUACCCACAGCACUGGCCAUGACAAAAUCCUGCGCUGGGGAGUGGGGAAGCCUACAUCUGGUGCCUCUGGGCAACCCCAAAAGUUGAAACAUGCAAACACAGGGCUUUCAUGUGAAGAAAACCAGGGGGAUGGAGAGAUGGUUUAGUGCUCCCAGAGGACCAGCACCCAUGUCUGUGGCUCACAACAGCUCGUAACUCCAGCUCCAGGGGAUCUGAUGCAUCUGGGCUAGUCAAGGCUCCUGUAGUCACACACACAGACAUACACAUGAAUGUGACUGAAACAAAUCAUCAAAGUGAAUGAGACCACAGACAUCCAACAGAGGGGGAGAGGUACCAGAGAGGUCUGAAUAGUACCAGACCAACCUAGCUGUAAAAGGGAUGUUGGGUGCUCUGCUGGCAACAGCACAAAGCAGUGGGUGAGCACACAGAUGAGGAUGGGCUCUGGCCUCUGCCUUCGAGUUUGCCUCCUCAGCAAGCAGAGAAGCAGCCACGGCUGCUAGCUCACGGGAGUGGAGGAAGACUUAGCUCUUCUCACAUUUCAGAUGAAAGCCACAGUGGAGAGGAGGAAGAAGAUGAGCCUAGGCAACUGACAGUCAUAGUCUUCCCAGCACACAUCUGUCACCAGAUGAGAGGCCAGGGAGAAUGAAAGCUUCUUCCCAGCACAGGACCCACUCCCUGGUCAAGCGUGCCCUGAUGAUUAUGCUGUGGUGGAGAUCUGUAACAGCCACUAGGACCCAGCAUUUUGGACAGACACUUGACUUCACACAGCAAGCCUUCAAGAUAUUUGCUGACUACCCGUUCUGUGAAGGCCCAAAGCCAGGCAAUACACAGAAGAUAUGCCUGCCCUGCAGUAGUACGGGUGAUCCUGUUCCCUGAAGUAUUGCUCUGUGCCUGUGAGGUUGCAGAGCUGGUUAGCACACACUGUCCUCACUGUCUCCUAUAGUUUAAGUGCAAAAUGUCCAGAGUCCUUUGUUCUUGAAUAGCUGCCCCCGUCCCCAGUUUCUAGGGACCUAUAGACUUGGAGCCUAGCAGGUGAACAUAGACCAAUGGGGAUGUGCCUCUGAUGGUUUAACCAGCUCUGCUCCUCUGCUCUCCUGUUUCCUACUUGCCAUGUUGAAGCCCAUGCUGUAAUGGACUAAGCUGUUUCAGGUGCCAUGUCUUUCCACCAUGAAGUAUUUCCUGAAACUGUGAGCCAAAGCAGACCUGUCCCCCAUGGACUUUUCCUCUGUCACAGUGCUGAGGCACCAGUGAAUUCUUGCAAGGCCAUGUCCUCCAACCAGGCACACCGGAGCAACCUAUGGGCCCCCAGGCUCCUUGACCAGUUGCCAGUGAUAUUGUUCACAUACCUUCAGGUUUUCAGAAGCUGCAGCUCUUCAGACAGUGCCACAGUACAGCCAGAAUGGAGAAGGGAGCUGUGAGGUAAGAGGACAUGGGGCACCAUGCAGACCAGCCUGCAGAAAGCCUCUGAGAAGUUCCCUGGCCACCCACUUCCCUCCUGGCAUCCUCCAAAAGCAGACAAGCCUCUUCCUGCAUAUGUAGUACAUUAAUGUGGAUUUCACAUUAUAGAAGUAUAGCAUCUCUGGAUCUGGCUGUUUUGCUCAAUAUAAUGAUCUCUUAAAAUAUCCUGACUUUAGAGGUGGGCGACGCUCCACUGUGAGCACACUGCAUGCUCUUGCUUUAUUCAUCUGUUCAGAAAACUGACACGGGGUUUGUAACUUGACUGUUGUGAGUAGCGCUGUGCAAACACGGGCAUAUGCAGAGUGCUGACUUAGGUUCUUUCGGGAAUAUUCAGAAGCAGUUAAGUUGGAUCCUAUGAGGGAUAUUUGUAGUUUUCUUAAGGACCUCCAUGCUGAUUUCCAUGGCGGUGGCUGUAGUUUGUAUCACUGGCAGCCGUGAGAAGCGGGGAUGCAGUCUAGCAUAGCUUUGACUCGCAUCCCGACGGCUGGGGAUGCUGAACAUAUUCACGCAUUUAUUACGUCAUCA
rnacentral:sRNA from 1 species